UGCAGCUCAGUGGUAGAGCACUUACCUCACACGUGAGGAGCCCUGAGUUCAAUCCCCAGUAUUGCAA
rfam:Ictidomys tridecemlineatus contig058539, whole genome shotgun sequence.